rnacentral:rRNA from 1 species
AGGUUUCCGUAGGUGAAACUGCGGAAGGAUCAUUG